CAGCAGAGACAAAUAAUGACUCCUGAAACAUUUCAGAAUCAAAAAGUUAAAACGGUGUUUCAGUGAUACUACAUCUUGCCAGACGCGGGCUAAUGGUUUGAAGAUAUUGGCCUAGCAAGAUGGCAACGAGCUUAAAAAAUAGGAUUCCUAUGAAGUUACUUUUCUCAGACAUCUCAAACCCCCAAACGAGAGAAGAUACU